rnacentral:lncRNA from 12 species
AACUCUUUCUUAAGCCUGACACCUAGAAUGUAUUUUAAGUUCAUUUGAAUAUUUUGUUCUGCAGCUUGGUGGAGUUGACUCUUGACUGGUAACAGCUAAAGACUCUACAAUACGAGAUAGUGAACCUCUUACUGGGUUCAAGGCAUUGAGAAAACAAGAGAGAUCUACAUGAAAGUCAGCCAGGACGGCCUCAAUAAACCUGGAUUUGAGUUCUGAUAUUGCUGAUGACCUGUACUAUAGACAUGAACAGGCUCUUCUCACAAUAUCUGGGAUACCGGCUCCUUGUGGCUUCUGUGAACAUGGG